rnacentral:rRNA from 1 species
CCGUCCACGCUGGCGGCGUGCCUUUACUGCCCCUCGAGCGGAUUGCAGGGAGCUUGCUCCCUGAUAUUAGCGGCGGACGGGUGAGUAACCCGUGGGCAACCUGCCCUGCGGAUGGGGAUAACUCCGGGAAACCGGGGCUAAUACCGAAUAAUCGGUUCUUCCGCAUGGAAAAACUCUGAAAUACGGUUUCCGCUGUCGCUGCUUGAUGGGCCCGCGCCGCAUUAGCUACUUGGUGGGGUAACGGCCUACCCAGGCGACGAUGCGUACCCGACCUGAGAGGGUGAUCGGCCACACUGGGACUGAGACCCGGCCCAGACUCCUACGGGAGGCACCACUACGGAAUCUUCCACAUUGGACGAAAGUCUGAUGGAGCAACGCCCCGUGAGCUAAUAAGGUUUUCGGAUCGUAAAGCUCUGUUGCGAGGGAAUAACCCCUACGGGAGUAACUGCCCGCACCUUGACGGUACCUCGUCCUGUGCCACGGCUAACUACGUGCCAGCAGCCGCGGUAAUACGUAGGUGGGGAAGCGUUGUCACGAGUUAUUGGGCUUAAAGCGCCCGCAAGUUAUCCUUUAAGGUCUGACGUGAAGAGCCCACGGCUCCACCCGUGGAGGUUUUAUGGUAAAUUGGGGGACGUGGUUUCCAAAGAGGGAAAUUGUAUUUCUCUUUGUCUCCACUUAAAAU